rnacentral:rRNA from 1 species
UACGUAGGGUGCUAGCGUUGUCCGGAAUUAUUGGGCGUAAAGAGCUCGUAGGCGGUCUGUCGCGUCGGCUGUGAAAACCCGGAGCUCAACUCCGGGCCUGCAGUCGAUACGGGCAGACUGGAGUUCGGCAGGGGAGACUGGAAUUCCUGGUGUAGCGGUGAAAUGCGCAGAUAUCAGGAGGAACACCGGUGGCGAAGGCGGGUCUCUGGACAUUUCCUGACGCUGAGGCACGAAAGCCAGGGGAGCAAACGGG